UCAGUAACGGCGAGUGAAGCGGCAACAGCUCAAAUUUGAAAUCUGGCACCCCUCCCGGGGGGUGCCCGAGUUGUAAUUUGCAGAGGAUGCCCUUGGCGAGGCGCCUUCCGAGUUCCUGGAACGGGACGCCGCAGAGGGUGAGAGCCCCGUAGCGGUCGGUCGCCACAGCCUGUGUAGGGCUCCUUCAAAGAGUCGAGUAGUUUGGGAAUGCUGCUCAAAGCGGGAGGUAAAUCUCUUCUAAAGCUAAAUACCUGCCAGAGACCGAUAGCGCACAAGUAGCGUGAGCGAAAGAUGAAAAGCACUCUGGAGAGAGGGUCAAACAGUACGUGAAAUUGUUGAAAGGGAAGCGCUAGCGGCCAGACGUGGGCCGGCGGCUCCCCCGGCGUUCUUCGCCGGUCCGCUCCGCCCGGCCCAGGCCAGCAUCGGUUUCCGCGGGGGGAUAAGGGUGGUGGGAACGUGGCUCCCCCUUCGGGGGGGGUGUUAUAGCCCGCCCCUCGAUGCCCCCGUGGGGACCGAGGAUCGCGCCCCGUGCGAGGAUGCUGGCGUAAUGGCCGCUAACGACCCGUCUUGAAACACGGACCAAGGAGUCGUCCACUGGAGCGAGCGUUAGGGUGUAAAACCGGUACGCGUAAUGAAAGUAACAGGUGAGAGCCUCGGCGCAUCAUCGACCGAUCCUGAAGUGCUCGGAUGGAUUUGAGUAGGAGUUCCAGCGGACGGACCCGAAAGACAGUGAACUAUGCCUGUAUAGGGUGAAGCCAGAGGAAACUCUGGUGGAGGCUCGCAGCGGUUCUGACGUGCAAAUCGAUCGUCAAAUAUGGGCAUGGGGG
rnacentral:rRNA from 1 species